UUAACUUGUUUUUUAUUUUAACUCGGAUGUGCCACUGGGAUACAACAAGAGUUUGGUUUGCGCUCCUCCGGCGGGAGCCCGGCUCAGGACCGGGCCCCGGGGCCCCUCCCAGGGGCCUCCCGCCGAAGCAACUGACGAUGGUAAGUUCACAAAGGGUUGAAGAGUACGUUAAUACUCCUUUCGUAAUGAUCCCUCCGCUGGUUCACCAACGGAGA
rnacentral:misc_RNA from 1 species